GGAGUUGCUUCCUCUUGUGCAGGAGUCAUCGGUGAUGGUGUGAUUAUUAUUUUUUUUUUGUACGAUCUUUAUUUUAUUUUUCCUUCCCAUGUGGGUUUGUAUGCUUAAUAGUUUUUAUGGAAAUACAAUAAACACUUUGUAAAAAAAUUUGGAAAAUUCCAAGUUUCAAGAGAGAAUUUGAUUCUGAGGAUUUUAGCAAUAAAUAUA
rnacentral:misc_RNA from 1 species